UGAAUUUCUAGUUUUAGUACCAGUACCAGUGUACCACAAUCACUUAAUUACUUUUAUAUAGGGAGGAGCCAGCAGGCACUGUGGGUAUGUGUACUCCAUGUCAUUAUGUCCUUUUCAAAUUUGGUAAAAAAUAAAUAAAUAAACUUUUUCAUUAAAUGAAAUCUACUCCAAUACUUAAUACACAUAAGUCAUGUUAAUCUCACAUUCAUUAUGAUUAUGAGAUUAUAUAAUGACUCAUAAAUAUUUUAAAAAAAAGGCGAUUGAACUAUUUAAAUGAUUAUUAAUUUUUCAUAAUUAAAUAAAAGAAUUCAAAAUAAUAUUAAAUUAAAGAUAAAUAAUCAAGAUCAAUCAUGCUUUUAUAAACAAACAUGAGCCGAGAGAAAAAAAUUGAGUGGAUCCGGUCAUCCUCCUUAAAUGUGGGGAGUAAUUGUCUAAUUGAUACACAGCUCUGUCCACUUUACCCUGAGUAGUCCCAUCCAUUUAAGAUAGUUUCAGGGCAGGCCUGAAUUUUGAAGGGCCUAAAGCGAAUAAUAAUAAAAUGGGUCUUUUGCGAAUUGCUAUUAAGAUAGGCAUAAAAAAACGAAGAAUUUUUACUGAACAAAAGAGCAUCAAUACAAAAGAAUACCAAAUAUAAUAACUGACUAUUUCAAUAUUUUUAAAAUAUCAUUUAGAUAUUACAUUAUCACUAAGUCAAACUGAAAGAACAGAUACAUAAUUUGUUUAACCAACAGAAAAUGGUCAUGUUCAUGGCUAGUCCAUUUUUCCCAAAACAUGCUCUCAACAAUUUAAGCAACUGAUAAGGCAGGUGCAACUCUACAUGCAUAACAGAAUUACUAGCUAGUUUAAUGCUACUCUCGGAUCCUGAGCCUCUAAAUUACAGGUGCAACUUUACUUGUAUAAUUUUUGAUCCCC
rnacentral:lncRNA from 1 species